rnacentral:lncRNA from 1 species
GGAUUCUGGAGCCAGGAAGCCAGAGAGUAAGCAGAGAAUGGGUGUUUUGGUUUUAACCCCAUACAUGCUGGGUUUAAUGUAGGGAAACUGAUAUCAGUGUUGGUAUCACUACCACCUCUGAAUUUUGUGGUCUUAAUGAUUUCAGAUGGUUAGUCUCAUCUUUCAAAGUUGAAGGUGGACCUCAUCCAAUCAGUUGAGGCCUUCAUCAAAAAAAAGACUGACUCCCUCAAAGAAGAUGGAAUUCUACCAGCAGUUGGCCUUUGGACUCAAACUGCUACAUUGACUUUUCCCUGGAUCUCCAGCCUGCUGACCUACCCUGAAGAUUUUGGACUUGCCAGUCUCCAUGAUUGCUUGAGCCAAUCAUGGCUUGAUGAGUGGUGUAGGUCUGCGCCCAGGAUCCCAACCUGCAAACCCAGGCCACCGAAAAAGAAUAUGCCGG